GCCUCUGUAGCUUAAGGGUUAAAGCACCAACGAAUACAUGCCGAAGGCUAUCUUUUUCCGUGGAAGACCUGGGUUGGAUUUCCCAGCAGAGGCG